rnacentral:SRP_RNA from 1 species
GGCAGCAGCCCUCAAGGAUACUCGUUGGGUGCACA